AAGCUUAAUCUUGGCCCUUCUUUCCUUAUCAUUCUCACAAUCUCCCCAUCUUUCUAUCUCUUCUUCCAUUUCAUUUGAACCCUGCUCCGACCUCCAUUUCAACCGCUUUCACCCAAGUAAACAUACUCUGUCUUAUAUACACACAGAUUAUAUAAAGGCUUCAUUGACAACUCUUUGCUACUACUUAUAACUUGUUUCUGUCACUUUCUAUCUUUCUAUCUGCUGCGUGAGGCAAGAGAAUGGCUCCUAGCAAGAAUGGAAGAGGGAAGAGAGACAAAAAGAAAAAAGAAGAGAAGGUUCUUCCUGUGUUGAUGGAUGUUGGUGUCAAUCUUCCUGAUGAGACUCAAGUGGUUCUGAAGGGAAUAUCAACGGACAGGAUCAUAGAUAUAAGCCGUCUGCUAUCAGUGAAUACACAAACUUGCCACAUCACCAAUUUUUCCUUAUCUCACGAGGUAAGAGGAGCACAGUUAAAAGACACUGUAGACGUUGCCGCACUGAAGCCUUGCAUAGUCACUCUAAUUGAAGAGAAGUACGACGAAAAGAGUGCGACGGCUCAUGUUAGAAGGUUGUUAGACAUAGUUGCUUGCACCACAAGCUUCGGAUCUUCAGGAAAGAAGGAAGAUUCCGGCAAAAAUGUGGUCUCGAAGAAGUUGCCAACGGAGAAAAACUCGUCGAAAGAUGUGUCAGUGGAUGGAGAAAUAGGCAAUUCGUCCCCGAGCAUCAGUAGCUUUUAUGAAUUCUUCUCGCUCUCUCAUGUCACUCCUCCACUUCAGUUCAUAAGGAGAUUGGAAAGGCAGCAGAAGGAUGGAACAUUUGCUGAUCAUCUCUUCUCUCUGCAAGUGAAAGUUUGCAAUGGGAAGCUAAUCAAUGUUGAAGCUUGUCGUGAAGGAUUUUACAGUGCUGGAAAGCACCGGAUUCUAUGCCACAAUCUUGUUGAUUUGCUACGACAGCUGAGUCGGGCCUUUGAUAAUGCAUAUGAUGAUCUUAUGAAAGCAUUCUUGGACCGCAAUAAGUUUGGGAAUCUCCCAUAUGGUUUCAGAGCUAAUACAUGGCUCAUUCCUCCUAUUGCUUCACGUUUACCACCAGUUUUUCCUCCUCUACCAGUGGAGGAUGAAACAUGGGGAGGAAAUGGAGGCGGCUUCCGAAGAGAUGACAAAAGCGAUUUUUUACCUUGGGCUAAUGAAUUUCUCUUUGUGGCAUCUAUGCCUUGCAAGACAGCUGAGGAGAGACAGAUUCGAGACAGAAAAGCUUUCAUUUUACACAGCCUAUUUGUUGACGUUGCCAUUUUUCAAGGCAUAUUGGCCAUGCAAAAUGUUAUAGAAAAAUCAAGUUUUAACGGUUCAGAUGUCAAAGCCGAACCUCAUAUGGUGAGAGUGGGGGACUUGAGCAUAACAGUCAUGAGAGAUGCUCUCAACGCCAGCUGCAAGUUAGAUACCAAAAUUGAUGGAGCUUAUACAACUGGGGUAGUGAAGAAGGAUUUGGUUGAAAAAAACCUUCUGAAAGGGAUUGCAGCUGAUGAGAAUACUGCUGCCCAUGAUGUAUCCACUCUGGGUGUUGUCAAUGUCAGAUAUUGUGGGUACAUUGCUGUCGUGAAAGUUGUGGUGGAUGACAACAUCAAAUUAAGUCCUCCGUCAGAAAGCAUCGAGCUUCUUGAUCAGCCAGAUGGUGGUGCCUGUGCCCUCAAUAUCAACAGUUUGAGAAAGCUUCUUCAUAGAAGAACAGGUCAUGAAGAUAAUAAAAUCCAACCAGAUUUACAUAAGUCGGAAUAUGCUGAAAUCAAUUCUGCUCAGAAAUUUGUGGAAAAUAUUUUAAAAGAAAGUCUGAGUAAGCUUGAUGAAGAGGAACUGAAAGGCCACACAUGUUUAAGGUGGGAACUUGGAGCCUGCUGGAUACAGCAUUUGCAGGAUGAGAAAAAAUCGGAAAACGAAAAGAAAUCGUCUGCUGAGAAGACAAAAAGUGAGGUAGAGGUUGAGGGUCUUGGUACAUCUCUUCGGUCCAUUAGAAACAAAAAAAAGAAACCAAACAGGAGUAAAGACAAUUUAAGUUUGACCGCAAAUGGUAUCAAUGGAGAGAUAGACAAUAUUAUUCUUCCUUCUUCAGAGUCCCAACUUGAGGUAAAUACCAAUGAAAAUGAGGUAGCACUGAGGAGGUUGAUAACUGAUGACGCCUUUACUCGACUAAAAGAGUCAGGAACUGGACUCCACUGCAAGUCUUUGCAAGAGCUAAUUAUUUCGUCCCAGAAAUAUUAUGACGAGGUUGCACUACCAAAACUAGUUGCAGAUUUUGGUUCCUUGGAACUCUCCCCAGUAGAUGGAAGGACCCUGACUGAUUUCAUGCAUACACGAGGUCUUCAUAUGCGUUCUCUAGGACAAGUGGUUAAGUUAUCAGAAAAGCUAUCGCAUGUGCAAUCUCUCUGUAUACAUGAGAUGAUAGUACGAGCUUUUAAGCAUAUUCUUCAGGCUGUGAUUGCCAAUACUGUUAAUAUAAAUGAAAUGGCUGUGGUUAUUGCUUCUGCAUUAAAUUUGAUGCUCGGAGUUUCUGAUAGUGAACAAUCAGAUGAGUGUAGUGGGAUUGAUCCUCUUGUCUGGAGAUGGCUAGAGGUAUUUAUAAAGAAACGUUAUGAAUGGGACCUUAGCAUCAAGGAUUUCAAAAAUGUAAGGAAGUUCGCAAUUCUUCGUGGAUUAAGCCACAAGGUGGGUAUUGAGCUAGUUCCAAGAGAUUAUGAUAUGAAUUCUCCAAGACCUUUCCAGAAAGUAGACAUUAUUAGUCUAGUACCCGUGCAUAAGCAAGCAGCAUGCUCAUCUGCAGAUGGACGGCAGCUCCUGGAAUCAUCAAAAACAGCUUUAGAUAAGGGAAAGCUUGAAGAUGCUGUCAGCUUUGGUACAAAGGCUCUUGCAAAGCUGGUUGCAGUUUGUGGUCCCUACAAUAGGAUGACAGCAGGAGCUUAUAGUCUUCUUGCUGUAGUUUUGUAUCAUACAGGAGACUUCAAUCAGGCCACAAUUUAUCAGCAAAAGGCAUUGGAUAUUAAUGAAAGGGAAUUAGGACUAGAUCAUCCUGAUACAAUGAAGAGUUACGGGGAUCUUGCUGUGUUCUAUUACAGACUUCAGCAUAUGGAGCUCGCUCUGAAGUAUGUGAAGCGUGCACUGUAUCUGUUACAUCUCACUUGUGGCCCAUCUCAUCCAAAUACUGCUGCAACAUAUAUCAACGUAGCUAUGAUGGAGGAGGGACUAGGAAAUGUACAUGUUGCCCUUAGAUAUUUACAAAAAGCACUGAAGUGCAACCAACAGUUACUUGGCCCAGACCAUAUACAGACUGCAGCAAGUUACCAUGCUAUAGCAAUCGCACUUUCCUUGAUGGAAGCUUAUCCUCUGAGUGUUCAACAUGAGAAAACAACCUUGCAGAUUCUCAGAGCAAAGCUGGGCCUAGAUGACCUGCGCACACAGGAUGCUGCCGCUUGGCUCGAGUACUUUGAGUCAAAGGCUUUUGAACAGAAAGAAGCUGCACGAAAUGGGACUCGAAAGCCUGAUGCUUCUAUUGCCAGCAAAGGCCACUUGAGUGUGUCAGAUUUGCUUGACUACAUUAGUCCAAGUACUGGUGCCAAAGGAAAGAAUGCUGCGCUACAGAAAAGGAAAAAUUAUAUAUCAAAGAUGAAAGAAAAAGCUUACGAGAAUUCUGGUUUGGAAAGUUCUAAGGGAUCUCCGAAAGAUAUGGCUCAAGAUUUCGCUGAACAAAAACAAUUUCCUGAACCUGUAGAUGAUAUUAAUGGGAAAACUGAGUUCACAGAUCCACCUGUUGGGUAUGAAAAACCACUUGAGGAGGAGCCUGCUCCAUCACAGCCUCUUUUGGAGGAAAGUGCUCCAGAAAAAACUGCUAUUGCUGUUGAUGUCUUACCUGAAUCACAGUGUGAAGGAGAAGAUGAAUGGCAAUCUGUUCAAAGACCAAGAUCAGGUCGCUCAUACGGACGACGACUAAGGCAGCGGAAAGCGGCUAUGAGCAAGGUUUACCCUUAUGAGAAGAAAGAUGUGAACUCUGAACCAGAAAUAUUAAGAACAGGGAAUACUUAUCAAAGUAGUAAGCAUCAGAUGCUAAAGAAACGAAUUUUGUCUCCCGGAAGUUAUGUUGAGCAGCACUCAGCAAAAAGUCCCUUUCAGGGUAACAAAUUUGGUCGGAGAACUGUGCAAGCUGUAAGAUACAGAGUGAAGUCUGUUCCAUCCACCAAGGAUUUGACAUUUGAGAAAUUGAACAUUGGCGAAGAAGAAGCUUUAGAAUCCAGACCUGUUUCUAUGGAAAGAGAAGUGAGCCUAUCAAUGAAAAGCUCAAUAAUUGGCCUCGUAAAAUCACCCUCGUACAAAGAAGUAGCACUGACGCCACCAGGUACUAUUUCAAUGCUGCAAGUCCGGGCAUCGGAGGAUGACUUUCCUGCAAAAGAGGAACUCAUUGUAAGAGAUGAAGAAACCAGUAAAGCAGGAGAUAAGAAAUUUGGCUCAACUGUUGUUAAUCCAGAAAAAACAUAUUCAACUGAUAAGGAUGAGGAUAAUCAAUCCAAGGCAGUACCUCGUAAUGUGGAAAUGACUCAAUCCAGCACUGCUAAGAAUUUUCAAGUUGCACCUAGGAUUUUUGAAGGUAAAGAUCCUUCAUACUCCACUUCACAAGGAGAAAAGGAUUCAAAUGAAAUCCCUUCUCUUCCAUGUGAUAUUGGUACUCGAGAUAUCUCCAAGAAGUUGUCUGCAUCGGCUGCUCCAUUCAAUCCUUCGCCAACUGCGACACAAAUUCCUCCUUUUCCCUUGAGUAUAGUUCUUCCUCCAGGGCCUGGUUCUGUUCCAGCUGUUGGUCUGUGGCCAAUAAAUAUGAAUCUUCAUCAAGGGACGGCUGUUAAUUUCUCAAGCCCAACCAUUUUAAACUCUCUGCAGUAUGUCUACCCUCCGUAUAUUCAUUCACGACCAUUACAAGGUCCAAUUUGGUCUGGCUGCCAGCCAAUGGAGCUCUCUGUCCCAUUACCUGUUAUGGAGCCAAUUGCUGAACCCUUUUUGGAAUCAAAUGAAGUGUCUGAAAGUUUAGUUAGCUGUAGAAGUUCGGAUUUGGAUUUGUCAUAUAAUAUUGAUGUGACGAACCAAACUAAGAGCGAAGCAGAUGUUAGUGAGAACCUGAAUGACGGGUUACAGUCAGAAGCUGUGCAAGAAGUUCCUAAACCAGAUUUACAUGGUGUUCCAUGUCCAGAGUAUUCAAUGGAUGACAAUAAUAAUUCACAUAUAUAUGCUGGAAGCAGUGGUGACAAUUGUGUGCCAGGUAACAUCAAUAUUUUGAUUAACAUCAAUAUUUUGAUUAAGGGAAGAAAAAACCGCAAUCAGACUCUGAGGAUGCCAACAAGUUUACUUAAGCGGCCUUAUAAUUCCCAGUCCUUUAAGAUCAUUUAUAGCAGAGUAAUUAAAGAGACUAAAGCUCACAAGUCCCCCAGCUUUUCUUCAGACAAUGUAAGUACUCUUUGUGCCGCCUGAGAUGUUCACAAGUAUGCAAGAUGACCAGAAAAUAGAGAAUGAUAGAUCUGUUGCUAUACAACUUACACAAUGAAACUAGAUUUCUUGAUGUGGAGCUUCAUGGAAUUUUGACCCUUCUCUUUUACUGUUUUGAGGCCUACUACAGGAAGUUCUAGUCGAGCGAUUUUGAGAGGUUCUUUUCGGAAAUGAUACAAUUCAGUUGGACAGUUCUGUUUUAUUUACUUUUUCUUUUUGGUUCACAAAAGAGGACUGACAUGUAGUUUCUGAUAUCUUAUAAUAGCAUAGACCAGAAAGUUGAGUUUUA